GUGAAUCAUCAAAUCUUUGAACGCAAAUUGCACUCUCCGGUUUUCCGGGAGAGUAUGCCUGUUUGAGGGUCAGCCUAAAAAAAUCGACAUCGUUGCUGUUAUUUCAUGGUGACUUUCGUCGGAGAUUGGGUCAUCUUAAACCUUUUGGUUUAAGCGACUUAAAAUUUUUUUCACGAUUUCAUGAACGUUUCUAAGAUUUUAUUUCUUAUACGUUUAAGGUUUAUCGACCCUUUAUUAGACGUGGCCGUCGCAUCGGAUCGCGUUCAUAAUAAGACUUUCGUUAACUGACCUCAGACAGGUA
rnacentral:misc_RNA from 1 species